AAGGGGGUGGCAGAGUGGUGAUGCAGUUAACUUGAAAUUAAAUUAAGGGGGUUCAACUCCCUCCUCCCUUG
rnacentral:tRNA from 1 species